UACGGAGGGAGCUAGCGUUAUUCGGAAUUACUGGGCGUAAAGCGCACGUAGGCGGCUUUGUAAGUAAGAGGUGAAAGCCCAGAGCUCAACUCUGGAAUUGCCUUUUAGACUGCAUCGCUUGAAUCAUGGAGAGGUCAGUGGAAUUCCGAGUGUAGAGGUGAAAUUCGUAGAUAUUCGGAAGAACACCAGUGGCGAAGGCGGCUGACUGGACAUGUAUUGACGCUGAGGUGCGAAAGCGUGGGGAGCAAACAGGAUUAGAAACCCGAGG
rnacentral:rRNA from 1 species